rnacentral:tRNA from 1 species
GGUGCCAUAGCUCAGUUGGUAGAGCAAAGGACUGAAAAUCCUUGUGUCACUGGUUCGAUUCCCGUUGGCACCACGA